AGGGUUUGAUCAUGGCUCAGAACGUACGCUGGCGGCACGCCUUAUACAUGCAAGUCGAACGCAGUAGCAAUACUGAGUGGCAAACGGGUGAGUAUAAUGUGGGAAUCUGCCUUUUGGUUUGGAAUAACACGGGGAAACUUGUGCUAAUACCGGAUAAGCCUUCACAGGGAAAGUUUUAUACGCCGAAAGAUGAGCCCGCACUUGAUUAGCUAGUUGGUGAGGUAAAAGCUCACCAAGGCAAUGAUCAAUAGCUGUUCUUAGAGGAAGACCAGCCACAUUGGGACUGAGACACGGCCCAGACUCCUACGGGAGGCAGCAGUAAGGAAUCUUGCACAAUGGGGGAAACCCUGAUGCAGCGAUGCCGCGUGAGUGAAGAAGGCCUUUGGGUUGUAAAACUCUUUCGUCGGGGAAGAAAAUGACUGUACCCGAAUAAGAAGGUCCGGCUAACUUCGUGCCAGCAGCCGCGGUAAUACGAAGGGACCUAGCGUAGUUCGGAAUUACUGGGCUUAAAGAGCUCGUAGGUGGUUAGAAAAGUUGGUGGUGAAAUCCCAAGGCUCAACCUUGGAACUGCCAUCAAAACUUUCUAGCUUGAGUGUGAUAGAGGAAAGUGGAAUUUCUAGUGUAGAGGUGAAAUUCGUAGAUAUUAGAAAGAAUACCAAUUGCGAAGGCAGCUUUCUGGAUCAUUACUGACACUGAGGAACGAAAGCAUGGGUAGCGAAGAGGAUUAGAUACCCUCGUAGUCCAUGCCGUAAACGAUGUGUGUUAGACGUUGGAAAUUUAUUUUCAGUGUCGCAGCGAAAGCGAUAAACACACCGCCUGGGGAGUACGACCGCAAGGUUAAAACUCAAAUGAAUUGACGGGGACCCGCACAAGUAGUGGAGCAUGUGGUUUAAUUCGAAGAUACGCGCAGAACCUUACCAACACUUGACAUGUUCGUCGCGACUUUAAGAGAUUAAAGUUUUCGGUUCGGCCGGACGAAACACAGGUGCUGCAUGGCUGUCGUCAGCUCGUGUCGUGAGAUGUUGGGUUAAGUCCCGCAACGAGCGCAACCCUCACUUUUAGUUGCCAUCAUUAAGUUGGGCACUCUGAAAGAACUGCCAGUGAUAAGCUGGAGGAAGGUGGGGAUGACGUCAAGUCCUCAUGGCCCUUACGUGUUGGGCUACACACGUGCUACAAUGGUAUCUACAACAGGAAGCAAGACUGCGAGGUCAAGCAAAUCCUUAAAAGAUACCUCAGUUCGGAUUGCACUCUGCAACUCGAGUGCAUGAAGCUGGAAUUACUAGUAAUCGUGGAUCAGCGUGCCACGGUGAAUGCGUUCCCGGGUCUUGUACACACCGCCCGUCACACCAUGGGAGUUGGUUCUACCUUAAGGCAAGGUUUAAAACCCUUGACCACGGUAUAGUCAGCGACUGGGGUGAAGUCGUAACAAGGUAGCCGUA
rnacentral:rRNA from 1 species